rnacentral:rRNA from 1 species
AUGAACGCUGGCGGCGUGCCUCAUACAUGCCAGUCGAGCGCACGGACGAGAAGCUUGCUUCUCUGAUGUUAGCGGCGGACGGGUGAGUAACACGUGGAUAACCUACCUAUAAGACUGGGAUAACUUCGGGAAACCGGAGCUAAUACCGGAUAAUAUUUUGAACCGCAUGGUUCAAAAGUAAAAGACGGUCUUGCUGUCACUUAUAGAUGGAUCCGCGCUGCAUUAGCUAGUUGGUAAGGUAACGGCUUACCAAGGCAACGAUGCAUAGCCGACCUGAGAGGGUGAUCGGCCACACUGGAACUGAGACACGGUCCAGACUCCUACGGGAGGCAGCAGUAGGGAAUCUUCCGCAAUGGGCGAAAGCCUGACGGAGCAACGCCGCGUGAGUGAUGAAGGUCUUCGGAUCGUAAAACUCUGUUAUUAGGGAAGAACAUAUGUGUAAGUAACUGUGCACAUCUUGACGGUACCUAAUCAGAAAGCCACGGCUAACUACGUG